rnacentral:rRNA from 1 species
CAUGUCCUUUUGAUAAUAAUUUAAGGUCUAAUCUGCCCACUGAAAAUUUGAAAUGGCCGCGGUAUUUUGACCGUGCAAAGGUAGCAUAAUCAUUAGUUUUUUAAUUGAAAGCUGGUAUGAACGAUUGAAUGAGGAAAAAGCUGUCUCAAUUUAAUUUAUUUAGAAUUUUACUUUUAAGUCAAAAAGCUUAGAUAAUUUUAAAAGACGAGAAGACCCUAUAGAGUUUUAUUUUUAUUUUAUUAAGUUAAUUUAAGAUUGUUGUUUAAUUUUAUAAAAUAAGUAUUUUGUUGGGGUGACAGAAAAAUUAAAUAAACUUUUUUUAUAUUAGUACAUAUAUAUCUGAGUAUUUGAUCCAAAUUUUUUGAUUAUAAGAUAAAAUUACCUUAGGGAUAACAGCGUAAUUUUUUUUAGAGUUCUUAUCGAAAGAAAAAAUUGCGACCCUCGAUGUUGGAUUAAAGUUAAAUUUUGGGUGUGGAAGCUAAAACUUAAGGUCUGUUCGACCUUUAAAACUUUACAUGAUCU